AUUGAACGCUGGCGGCGUGCCUAAUACGUGCAAGUCGAACGCAUUUUCUUCCACCGUAGCUUGCUACACCGGAAGAAAAUGAGUGGCGAACGGGUGAGUAACACGUGGGUAACCUGCCCAUCAGCGGGGGAUAACACUUGGAAACAGGUGCUAAUACCGCAUAAUUCCAUUUACCGCAUGGUAAAUGGAUGAAAGGCGCUUUUGCGUCACUGAUGGAUGGACCCGGGGUGCAUUAGCUAGUUGGUGGGGUAACGGCCUACCAAGGCUGCGAUGCAUAGCCGACCUGAGAGGGGGAUCGGCCACACUGGGACUGAGACACGGCCAAGACUCCUACGGGAGGCAGCAGUAGGGAAGCUUCGGCAAUGGACGCAAGUCUGACCGAGCAACGCCGCGUGAGUGAAGAAGGUUUUCGGAUCGUAAAACUCUGUUGUUAGAGAAGAACAAGGAUGAGAGUGGAAAGUUCAUCCCUUGACGGUAUCUAACCAGAAAGCCACGGCUAACUACGUGCCAGCCGCCGCAGUAAUAC
rnacentral:rRNA from 1 species